rnacentral:lncRNA from 1 species
CAGCUUACAAAUUUUCAUAGUUAUAGUUUUGUACCUGAUUCAGAAAUUCAAUAGAAAAGAAGGAGAUCAGCGGCAAUAUAAAUAGAAACCAGAUGCAAUCCAGCAAUUUCAACAGCCCAGAAUAGAUUUAAAGUCAAGCAGAGAGUAGCAAACAACCAAACCCCAUCAAAAUGAACCCAAACGAAACCAAAAAUACUUGACACCUUCAGCCAGAUUCCAAAUAAACUCAUCAAAUGAUAGAACCCCAAACCAAAUAGGAAUUUGACCCAAAUGAUUUCAAUAACACCCCACUGACUCGAAAUAUUCCCAGUUACCCUCCGAAAAUUAUCAACAGACCAACCCUUGACCAGAAUCAACUAAUCAGGAUCCAAAACUUACUCAAAUUUAACUCAAAAUAUUUCUGAAACUUCAGCAGGGCCAACUCAAACAAAACUCAACUUAAUUUGGCCCAAAAUCACUCCAAAUGGACCUCUAAGCUUGAGUAACCAAAGAUCAAACUUAAGAAUGUGAAUCUACGACUAACUUGAAACUAACCUAAUCCCAAAAUCACUCCAAAUGGACCUCUAAGUUUAAGCAACCAAAGAUCGAACUUAAGAAUGUGAAUCUACGACUAACUUGAAACUAACCUAAGGUUCAGUAAUGGAACAGUCCUAUUCUUUUUGAUUUUUUGGAAAUUUUCUAGUGUUUUUGGUUUUGUUUUUUUGAAGAAAACUUAGAUUUAAGGGAAUUUCAGAUCUGGAAGCUUGGGGUAUUUUUUGGGCUACCAAACUUGAAAUUACACUGAAAUUUUAAUUGAAACAGUGCUAUUUUUUUUUUGAAGUUUUCUGAUUUUUUUUUAUUUUUCUUUUGAAGAUUUGAAGUUUGGAUCUUCAGAUUUCAUAUCUGAAUUUAUAAAGAAAGGCAAGGAAUUGUUUGAGGCUUACAAACUUGGGAAUAAAUUAAAGGGAAUGCCCUUUUAUAGGCACAAAUGAGGACAACCCUCAUAUUUCUAUUUUCACUUCAGUCCCUAUGUUAUUUUCAGCUUUCUGCUCAAGCAAGUGCACCUAAUUUCUGAAUUAUGCACUGAAGUCCUACUUUAGAAGGUCCUAAAAUAUUCUAGUUUAUCCCACAACAUUCUUGUGCACAUCUAGAUGUCUAACAUACCCCUAAAGUUGGUUUGAAUUACCGAGGCUUAACAAACUAACCAUUUCAGGUACCCAAAAUACCCCUGAAAACCUAUCUGAAAUUACUAACACUAAUCAAAAUCUAUCAGUUAUAACCAAUCAAUUAAACUAAACCUAAUGACUAAAUGAACUAAUUAAUCCCAUUAAACUAGCUCCUAAUUAAUACUAGAAAACUAAAACUAAAUUUAAACCAAGGUCAGAUUCGCAUCAGACUCCAAACUUAACAGAACAAUGUUAUGAUUCAAAUCAUAAAACUCAACAAUAGUUUAAACUCGAGCUCAAAUUAGAUCAAACAACAUAGAAACAAAUACGAAGUAUUCAAUGACCAGAACAACAAUUAGAUUGAACUACUAAGGUCAACCUGACACAACUACAUUUGGAACACAUCACGAUUCUGAAUUAACCCCCAAAACCAAAUGAAUGAAUACUGAAUAUUAGAUGAAAGGAAAACAAACAUAAUGAUAAACUUACUGAUUUCGGAAUUUAGACAUAGCCUGAUUUCGAAUUGGGUCUUCAAAUAAUGUUAUUUGUUUGCUCUUACCAAGAAUAAACACAUAGCAUCAUUCCAAAACCCCUUCUACCACUAGCCGACUCUAGAAACUCGAACAGAUGUAGAUCUCCCAAAACUCCAAAAUUCAAACCUUAGAUCCAAAAUUCAGAGAGACCUGGUGGGGUUCAAAGGAUAUUAGUUGAGGAUUUAGGAAGAGAGAAGCGAGGGGAGUGCGUGGUGUAAUUUUGGGCGGAUUCCGAUGAUUUAAUGUUUCAGUCCCUUCUUCAAUCCAAUAUUCGAAACCCUUAUCAAGGAUUUGAGGGAAACCAUUUACGGAUUCAAAGACAAGAAGAUGUGGGGAUUCCAUGGUGUAAUUUUCAGGGGGAUUGACAAUUACCGCCGGCGGAGGCGAUUUCUGACCGGCGGCGUGCAGUGGUACGAGGAGGAGG